rnacentral:rRNA from 1 species
CAGUGACUAUAUGUUCAACGGCCGCGGUAUUUUGACCGUGCAAAGGUAGCGUAAUCACUUGUCUUUUAAAUGAAGACCCGUAUGAAUGGCGGAACGAGGGCUAAACUGUCUCCUUUUUCAGGUCAAUGAAAUUGAUCUCUCCGUGCAGAAGCGGAGAUAACACCAUAAGACGAGAAGACCCUGUGGAGCUUUAGGUAACAAAACAGAUCGUGCCCAGCAUACCUAAAUAAAGGACUGAGCUUAAUGAAAACUGUUUUUAUGCCUUCGGUUGGGGCGACCAUGGAGUAAUAAAAAUCCUCCAAGUGAGAGGGAGCACUUCACCCUUUUCUACCUCUACAUCCACCCUUAUCUAUCCCUCCUAAAACCAAGAGCUACGACUCUAACUAGCAGAAAUUCUGACCUAAAUUGAUCCGGCUAUGCCGAUUAACGGACCAAGUUACCCCAGGGAUAACAGCGCAAUCCUCUUCUAGAGCCCAUAUCGACAAGAGGGUUUACGACCUCGAUGUUGGAUCAGGACAUCCUAAUGGUGCAACCGCUAUUAAGGGUUCG